UACGUAGGGUGCGAGCGUUGUCCGGAAUUAUUGGGCGUAAAGAGCUCGUAGGCGGUCUGUCGCGUCUGCUGUGAAAACUCAGGGCUUAACCCUGAGCUUGCAGUGGGUACGGGCAGACUAGAGUUCGGUAGGGGAGACUGGAAUUCCUGGUGUAGCGGUGAAAUGCGCAGAUAUCAGGAGGAACACCGGUGGCGAAGGCGGUUCUCUGGGCAUGAUCUGACGCUGAGGAGCGAAAGUGUGGGGAGCGAACAGG
rnacentral:rRNA from 1 species